UACGUAGGGUGCGAGCGUUGUCCGGAAUUACUGGGCGUAAAGAGCUCGUAGGUGGUUUGUCGCGUUGUUCGUGAAAACUCACAGCUCAACUGUGGGCGUGCGGGCGAUACGGGCAGACUGGAGUACUGCAGGGGAGACUGGAAUUCCUGGUGUAGCGGUGGAAUGCGCAGAUAUCAGGAGGAACACCGGUGGCGAAGGCGGCUCUCUGGUACGUGACUGACGCUGAGACGCGAAAGCGUGGGGAGCAAACAGG
rnacentral:rRNA from 1 species